GGUUUGGAAUGGAAUUUGUUGCGAGUCUAGAGAUUUCGGGAGUGUGGAAAAAGCAACAAGCCAACAACAGCCGGCACUUGGCAGUGUAGCUCUUUCCGCCAAAAUAGUAUCCCUAAAGCAGCAGAUAUUAGUGAUACAGAUCCUUCUUUAGCACUUUCUGAAGGUGAAAGGGUUUUUGCUCAUCAUGGUCCUCUCAUUUGCGAAGCUAAGGGUUGGAAUAACAAACAAAACAAGUGAGAUGAGUGGGUAGCAUUGAACUUUUGUUGAAAUUCACUGAAGAGAACAAGAAACUGCAGGAGGAACUUAAACUAGAGCAGCAGGUUAUGGAAAAGAAUCCCAGGCCAGGGUGUUUAUCAAACAUGAAGCCAAAAAGUUGUACUGGUGACCUCUACGCUCUUCCGGAACUAACAAUCGUCUAUUAAAUUAGCUUGUGAUAAAUGCAAAAAUGGAUCAAGAGGAUACUAUAAAAUAUGGUCAUGCAGACUAUUUCAAUAUGUAAAGCUUCAUAUGUUUUGUGAUGAUGAAAGGUGGAUAUCAUUUAUUUCUACGCAUCUUGUGUCAGCCUUUUUGUUUAAGUUUAAAGAAUGCUAUUUACUCACUGUUGAAUUUGAUCUCUUUCCCAUAGUUUAUUCCAGAGCAACUGGUUCAUAUGAGAGAGCCUAUGAUCUAGGUUUUGAAACAAGUAUUUUAGGGUUUCAUUUCUUAUUUGGAAAGUGGCAAUGACAGCAGUUAACUCUUGGAAGUAUGCACAUCUUAAUCCCAUCUAAAACGGAACAUGAACCUUUGCUGCUCGCAAACCCAACACUCAUAGAUUGUUACCAAAACUGGAUGACAAGUCUAUCUCAUUUCCAAGCUCUUUAAGCUUGAUAUAUAUAGAAUCUCUGAUUAAAAUAAGCUAAGGGACGAUGAUGCUCAUCAGUUACCUAGAAGAUAGUCCGUUCAUUGCUGUGAAACCUUGUGUCUUAGAGCAUUCUAUCAUGCUGUGCAGUUGUUUCUAGCAUGCCUUCUCUGGAAGUGCAGAUACAUGUAUGGAAAUGGCUGUAUCUGCUGCCUCAUCGAUAGCUUAAUUUUUUUUUGAAAGGGCUCACCAGUCACCUCUGCCCAUCUUGCAAAAGCUCAUUUACCGACAGUUCGAGAUCAAUAACUGGGAUAGUAGAGCUAAAUUGGUAGGUAAGGUGGGAUUUGGAAGUUGGCCAUCUUGGGCUUCCUUGGAAGAAGCUGUAGAGCGAGACACUGUGCAGUUAGCUGCUCCAUUAGUAUGCUUCUUCUUAUCUGAUCUCAUGGAAGUCAUGCCAUUGACAAUGUCUGGGACUCCAUAUCUAGGCAUCCUCAUCUGUUUCACGGUUUGGGCAUCCAGCUUUUCGGUGGCUUUGAACAUCAUCACCAUGUAGUUUCCUUUUUCUGGAUCCAAAUAAGAUGGUAGGAUACAUGAUGUCUUUUGAUUCUCAGCUGUGCUCAAGCCCUAGCAGAUGACCAACAUCAUGUACAGCAACUGUUCUAUGUCCAUCAUGUCUUGCCAUGGAUUAGUACUCCAACUCUCUUCUGCAUUGAAAUGAAGCCUUCCAUCUGUUGGUGAAAAAGAAUGAGCAAAUAGUCCACCAGGUCCUUCAAAGCUGGAACAUCACCAUGAUCAGCGCUUUAAAAUCUACUCAAAAUGUCUGCCUCAUCAAUGGCUUUGUAAAAUUUGAAAUGGCUCACCUCUGCCCAUCCUGCAAAAGCUCGUUUACUGACAGUUCUCAAAGUUUUGAGAUCAGUAACUGGGAGGGUACAGCUGAAUUGAUAGGUAGAGUGAGACUGUGUCUGGGAGUCCACAUCCUCAUCUGUUUCACUGUUUGAGCAUCCAGCUUUCCAGUAGCUUUGAGAUGGUAAUUGAGUUGGAAACCAAAAGCUUGGAAACCUUUUGUGGGCAGAAGUAGGUGUGGAAUUAUGGCUAGCAAUAAGAGCAAAAUAAAGGGUGCUAUCUGAAGAAGAGAAGCUGCUGCUUUGGGGUUUGUCAUUGCUGGCUUUGAAAUGGGGAAAGGCUAAGAAAUGGAACACGUUCUGUAUGUUUUUGAGUUCCCUAAUUUUGAAUCAACCAUAUAUCAUGUUGAUCUUCACUUAACUUUCAGAAGAUCAAUCUCCCUGUCAGUUGGUUAUUAAGGACCAAAUGAUUUUUCUUGAAGGAACACGUUCUGUCUAGCAUACCAUUUUUAGACUUGAGAUUAUUCAGAAGAUCAAUCUCCCUGUCACUCGGUUAUUCUCAUUUUUUGUUGAGAAUAAUAAUACAUGGUGAAUAUUUGAGAGUAAAUUUCAGGUGACAAUGGUAUAAGUUCUUCAAUUUUAGAUGUAAUCCAAUUCUGUAUAAGUUUUUCUAAAUAGUGUUGAUUUGAUAUUUUCUUUUAA